GGGGAAACCCAGUGCAAUCCGUUGCACUAUCGUUAACUGAAUACAUAGGUUAACGAGGCGAACCGGGGGAACUGAAACAUCUAAGUACCCCGAGGAAAAGAAAUCAACCGAGAUUCCCCCAGUAGCGGCGAGCGAACGGGGAGCAGCCCGGAGUCUGAAUCAGCUUGUGUGUUAGUGGAACGGUCUGGAAAGUCCGACGGUACAGGGUGAUAGUCCCGUACACGAAAGCACACUUGCUGUGAACUCGAAGAGUAGGGCGGGACACGUGGUAUCCUGUCUGAAUAUGGGGGGACCAUCCUCCAAGGCUAAAUACUCCUGACUGACCGAUAGUGAACCAGUACCGUGAGGGAAAGGCGAAAAGAACCCCGGCGAGGGGAGUGAAAAAGAACCUGAAACCGUGUACGUACAAGCAGUGGGAGCCUCUUUAUGGGGUGACUGCGUACCUUUUGUAUAAUGGGUCAGCGACUUAUAUUCUGUAGCAAGGUUAACCGUAUAGGGGAGCCGAAGGGAAACCGAGUCUUAACUGGGCGUUAAGUUGCAGGGUAUAGACCCGAAACCCGGUGAUCUAGCCAUGGGCAGGUUGAAGGUUGGGUAACACUAACUGGAGGACCGAACCGACUAAUGUUGAAAAAUUAGCGGAUGACCUGUGGCUGGGGGUGAAAGGCCAAUCAAACCGGGAGAUAGCUGGUUCUCCCCGAAAGCUAUUUAGGUAGCGCCUCGUGAACUCAUCUUCGGGGGUAGAGCACUGUUUCGGCUAGGGGGCCAUCCCGGCUUACCAACCCGAUGCAAACUACGAAUACCGAAGAAUGUUAUCACGGGAGACACACGGCGGGUGCUAACGUCCGUCGUGAAGAGGGAAACAACCCAGACCGCCAGCUAAGGUCCCAAAGUCAUGGUUAAGUGGGAAACGAUGUGGGAAGGCACAGACAGCCAGGAUGUUGGCUUAGAAGCAGCCAUCAUUUAAAGAAAGCGUAAUAGCUCACUGGUCGAGUCGGCCUGCGCGGAAGAUGUAACGGGGCUAAACCAUGCACCGAAGCUGCGGCAGCGACACUAUGUGUUGUUGGGUAGGGGAGCGUUCUGUAAGCCGUUGAAGGUGUGCUGUGAGGCAUGCUGGAGGUAUCAGAAGUGCGAAUGCUGACAUAAGUAACGAUAAAGCGGGUGAAAAGCCCGCUCGCCGGAAGACCAAGGGUUCCUGUCCAACGUUAAUCGGGGCAGGGUGAGUCGACCCCUAAGGCGAGGCCGAAAGGCGUAGUCGAUGGGAAACAGGUUAAUAUUCCUGUACUUGGUGUUACUGCGAAGGGGGGACGGAGAAGGCUAUGUCAGCCGGGCGACGGUUGUCCCGGUUUAAGCAUGUAGGCGGAGGU
rnacentral:rRNA from 2 species